CCCGGUUAACGUGAGCUUCUCUUGAUCCAAGUCCAAAAUCAUCACCAUCAUGCCUCCUGGGUCUUUUAUCCUCCCUUGUAUCAGAAUCUCUAGACUUAGGUUCAAACUCAAUGUCAUCUGGCUUUCUUGAACUCUUGUCUUCCCUCCUGUGAUGAUCUCUUGGGUCCGGUUCCGUAUCAUCAUAAUCAUUCCCUCUUGACCUUUUUUCUUCUCUCCUAUGUUGAUCUUCUCUUGACCUACGCUCAAUUUCAUCAUCUCCAUGCCUUCUUGACUUCUUUUCUUCCCUUGUAGUAUUAUUUUCUCUACCCUCAAAUAUAUCAUCAUCAUCAUGCCUCCGCAACAUCUCUCUCCUAUCGCUUCGCU
rnacentral:lncRNA from 1 species